rnacentral:piRNA from 1 species
UUCCCACACGAUCAUGAGUUAUGCUG